rnacentral:rRNA from 1 species
CCCUUAGAUGUUCUGGGCCGCACGCGCGCUACACUGAUGCAUUCAACGAGCCUAUCCUUGACCGACAGGUCCGGGUAAUCUUUGAAUCUGCAUCGUGACGGGGAUAGAUUAUUGCAAUUAUUAAUCUUCAACGAGGAAUGCCUAGUAGGCGCAAGUCAUCAGCUUGCGUCGAUUACGUCCCUGCCCUUUGUACACACCGCCCGUCGGUCCUACCGAUUGGGUGUGCUGGUGAAAUGUUCGGAUCGGCCGUUUGUCGCGGUUUCCGCGUCAUGUGGCUGAGAAGUUCAUUAAACCCUCCCACCUAGAGGAAGGAGAAGUCGUAACA